CCUACGGGUGGCUGCAGUGGGGAAUAUUGGGCAAUGGAGGAAACUCUGACCCAGCAACGCCGCGUGAAUGAUGAAGGUCUUCGGAUUGUAAAGUUCUUUUCUCAGGGAAGAAGAACGUGACGGUACCUUAGGACUAAGCCUCGGCUACCUACGUGCCAGCAGCCGCGGUACUACGUAGGAGGCGAGCGUUAUCCGGAAGGACUGGGCGGAAAGGGUGCGUAGGGGGUUUGGCAAGUUAGUAGCGUAACUCCAAGGCUCAACCUUGGAACUACUACUAAAACUGGUGGACUGGAGUGCAGGAGGGGCAACCGGAAUUCCUAGUGUAGCGGUGGAAUGCGUAGAUAUUAGGAGGAACACCAGUGGCGAAGGCGGGUUGCUAGACUGUAACUGACACUGAGGCACGAAAGCGUGGGGAGCAAACAGGAUUAGAUACCCUGGUAGUC
rnacentral:rRNA from 1 species